AAUGUCAAUAUUGUCAACGCGAAAUUGUUCUUUAUUGUCAGCAUAACCUCGAAUUGAUGUGUUCGUGUGGAAAAAAAAUUCAAUAUUUUUCUCGUACUCUCCAAGUGAGUACUCCACUCCUAUUUAGAGGGUACUUAAAAGGAAUUAUGCCAAUUUUAAAUCAUCCUGUAUUAUUAUAUUUUCUGCUCUGCAUAAGAAUGCAGUUGGUCAGGCUAGUCGAGUCAGUCAGCUGGUAACCACCAAAGAGAAAUCAUAAGUUUUAAGAGUUAAGUUAGUUAAGAAAAUACACCACGUGUUUUUGUAUUAUUAUUCGCUUAUAGCGAACUCCGGAUAUAACAAACCAGUUUUAGUUCAUUUCUUAAGUUUGUUAUAUCCAGACACAACUGUAUAUCAGUUUUAAAUUUAUAUGUGUAAUGUGUUUCAUAUGUGCUAGAGCCGAAAAGCGCUCUACGAUCCAUCCAAAAUAAUGAGGCCUAUUUUGAAUCGCCUUGUAUCACUUUUCAUAACACUAAUGUAAAUAAAACAAUGUGACAGCGGA